GACGAACGCUGGCGGCGUGCCUAAUACAUGCAAGUAGAACGCUGAAGGAGGAGCUUGCUCUUCUGGAUGAGUUGCGAACGGGUGAGUAACGCGUAGGUAACCUGCCUGGUAGCGGGGGAUAACUAUUGGAAACGAUAGCUAAUACCGCAUAACAGUAGAUGUUGCAUGACAUUUGCUUAAAAGUUGCAAUUGCAUCACUACCAGAUGGACCUUCGUUGUAUUAGCUAGUUGGUGGGGUAACGGCUCACCAAGGCGACGAUACAGAGCCGAACGGAGAGGGGGAUCAGCCAGACUGGGACGGUGACACGGCCCAGAGUGCUACGGGAGGCAGCAGGAGGGAAUCGGCGGCAAUGGACGGAAGUCAGACCGAGAAACGCCGCGGGAGGGAAGAAGGAUGUCGGAUCGUAAAGCUCUGUUGUAAGAGAAGAACGAGUGUGAGAGUGGAAAGUUCACAGUGUGACGGUAUCUUACCAGAAAGGGACGGCUAACUACGUG
rnacentral:rRNA from 1 species